AACGAACGCUGGCGGCAGGCCUAACACAUGCAAGUCGAGCGAAGCCUUCGGGCUUAGCGGCGGACGGGUGAGUAACGCGUGGGAACGUGCCCUUUGGUACGGAAUAGCCCCGGGAAACUGGGAGUAAUACCGUAUACGCCCUUAGGGGGAAAGAUUUAUCGGAGAAGGAUCAGCCCGCGUUGGAUUAGGUAGUUGGUGGGGUAAUGGCCUACCAAGCCUACGAUCCAUAGCUGGUUUGAGAGGAUGAUCAGCCACACUGGGACUGAGACACGGCCCAGACUCCUACGGGAGGCAGCAGUGGGGAAUCUUAGACAAUGGGGGCAACCCUGAUCUAGCCAUGCCGCGUGAGUGAUGAAGGCCUUAGGGUUGUAAAGCUCUUUCAGCUGGGAAGAUAAUGACGGUACCAGCAGAAGAAGCCCCGGCUAACUCCGUGCCAGCAGCCGCAGUAAAAC
rnacentral:rRNA from 1 species